GAGCAGAAAGAGAGAAGACUGAAGAGUUGUGUCACAAAGGCCAACAGAAUUUUGGUGCCUGGGAAGAAAGGUAGAAAAUAGAAGAUCAACUCACCCACAGCCUCAGCUCGGUGUUCAUGAAUUCUUCUAGCAAUUAUUGGCUUCUCUUUCUACUCCAGUGCUGUCCAUCAGAAGGCCAAGGAACUAUUACAGACAUGAAAGCACAUAGCACUACUCUGAAGUGUGAGGUUUUAGACACUGAGAGAUGCCACUUGAUGACAUCAUCUCCCUGCCCUAAGUUUCCUGGACUCCUGGUGGGUAAGUACUGCAAAACCUCCGUGACAGGGUUGGAGCUAGUCUCCCAGUUACAGUUACCAUCAGUAAUGGCUUCAGAAAAUCCUCCCUAUCAAUUGGAAGAACAGAAGGAUAAUCACCAACAUUCUGGCCCAAGUAAACAUCACCAGCAUUGAAGCCGUGUUUAUAUGGCACCAGCUCUGUUGGACAGGACGUGUCAUAAGGAUGCCUGAUAAUUGGAUCUCAAAACAGGUCCUAUACCCCAACUUGCCACUGGCCACCAUUCUAGAGGUGGACAAAAGAAGAGAUUCAAGGACACCUGGAAGACGAAUUUGAAGAAAUCAGUCCUCAGGAGACUCAGUCACUGAAUCAUCUCCCAUGAUGCCAUUGAUUUUUGGAACAAACUUGCCUCAUUAUGGAGGUGCAUAGAUGAGAGAGACCAAGGGAGAGAGCUUAGAUCUCCAGCAUCUAUUUGUCAUGUCUGCAGUCAAAUAUGCAGAUCUCAGCUUGACCUUCUCAGUCAUCUUUGGACUCACAGAUGACUUCCCUAUUUACUCAAACACUAUCAUCCUCAUAUCAAGGGGACUGCUGCCAGCAAUGACUCUCCAGCUUAUGCUGUUUUAUAUUGACUGUCUGACCAGGGUGUCUGAGAAUAGGAUAGAAGGGAUAUUGACUUUUUAUUACAUUUUUUUCUUAUAGGUUGAUUUGCCUGUCUGACCUGGUAAUUGAGGGGGUUUUUUGAGUUCCUGUACUGGCUUGACUUGGGUGGUAAUAUACUGUGACAAAUUUUGGGAAAUGUAAGUGGUUAAUUACAUUUGUGUUUUUCCUAAAAUAAAAUGUGAUAUUUAAAUGCCA
rnacentral:lncRNA from 1 species